rnacentral:rRNA from 1 species
AACACGUGGGCAACCUGCCUCAUAGAGGGGAAUAGCCUUUCAAAGGAAGAUUAAUACCGCAUAAGAUUGUAGCUUCGCAUGAAGUAGCAAUUAAAGGAGCAAUCCGCUAUGAGAUGGGCCCGCGGCGCAUUAGCUAGUUGGUGAGGUAACGGCUCACCAAGGCGACGAUGCGUAGCCGACCUGAGAGGGUGAUCGGCCACAUUGGGACUGAGACACGGCCCAGACUCCUACGGGAGGCAGCAUG